UUAAAGGGUCAAUUUGGGUUAGCUUCUUGGAAAUGCUCUGAAGAAUCAUUUGCACAUCAAGUGAAGAUCAGAGAUCCUCUCAAGAUUGGUUUUCCUAAUUUAUGGGCGUUGCGACUUGCACGCCAGCUACUUGUGUGGCAUCCUGAGGAUCGACUAAGUGUAGAUGAAGCACUAAAUCAUCCUUACUUCCAGGAGCCAAUGUAAUGUAAGGAGAGGAGAUUAGUGAUAACUAACCGACGAAUCUUCAGCUCGGUCCUUUCAAGUUCAAGCCGCGUGCAUUUGGUUAGAGGAAUUCAUGAAUCGUUUGUAAUUUACCAUCCUAGCUGUGUCAUAAAGAUGUUGUGAAUAUAACAUAACAUGAAGUAAAAGAUAGUAGCAUAUGUGAAAUUACAUGUG